rnacentral:rRNA from 1 species
CGGGACGGGUGAGUAACGCGUGGAUAACCUGUCUCACACUGGGGGAUAACAGUUAGAAAUGGCUGCUAAUACCGCAUAAGCGCACAGUACCGCAUGGUACGGUGUGAAAAACCCAGGUGGUGUGAGAUGGAUCCGCGUCUGAUUAGCCAGUUGGCGGGGUAACGGCCCACCAAAGCGACGAUCAGUAGCCGACCUGAGAGGGUGACCGGCCACAUUGGGACUGAGACACGGCCCAA